UACGUAGGGGGGCAAGCGUUGUCCGGAAUCAUUGGGCGUAAAGAGCGUGUAGGCGGCCCGAUAAGUCCGCUGUGAAAGUCCAGGGCUCAACCCUGGGAUGCCGGUGGAUACUGUCGGGCUCGAGUCCGGAAGAGGAGUGUGGAAUUCCUGGUGUAGCGGUGAAAUGCGCAGAUAUCGGGAGGAACACCAAUGGCGAAGGCAGCACUCUGGGACGUGACUGACGCUGAGACGCGAAAGCGUGGGGAAGCGAACGAGGAU
rnacentral:rRNA from 1 species